AGCGUUUUUAUUCCGACCUGAGUUGCAAUACAGGAAAACUCCUGACAGAGUCCUACAAUAAAAAUCAUUUUUCGAACGGUGGACCGAGUGACACCCGGGUGAAGAUGAGAACCAGAAACCUGCAGCGUCAGCAAAAACCGUCCCGGGAAUACUGCAGACACAUGAAAAUGCUUGUCAGGAGUUGCUGAGUGGAUGUGGAGAAGAGGACUCAAACGCAGGACUCACAGUGAAGGUUCAGGGUGUUUAUUGUGAGGGACGAAUGAUGAGAACAGGAGAUGGCUGACUGACUGAUCUGAACUGAAAGGCAAACACAUGGAAUGGACAGCAGUGACAACAUCAAUGACGCGACAGUGAACAGAAGGAAACUGAGGACUUAAAUACUCUGACAGAUGAGGAUGGUGAUGAGAGACCGGUGAGUACAUAAUCUGGCUAAUGACACGAGAGACGGGCUGACACAGGGAAAACAGGAAGUGAGGACAACAUUGGUGUGGCAACAUAAACUAACCGUGACAGAACUGAAAGCACUGGGUCAAUGACCCAGGAACCCUGACAAUGCUCCACAGCAGGUAAAUAAAAUAUGAAGCAAAAUAAAAUCCUAUGAAUAAAAACAAGAAUGAAUCAACGUUUUGUGACACUGAAGACGACGCAGCUCAGAAUUUUAAAACAUUUUAAUUUUGUUGUUAAAAAUCAGCAACACAUACAGGAAGUGUGUGUGUGUGGAUUAAUCAUUUCAGUGUGUGUCAGUAAAGCCACGUGCAUUUAUAAGGCUUCAGGUAUCCCUCUGUCAGGGGGCGGAGCCCAAAAGACACCUGUGGUCCACAACAGCCAAUCAGAUGAAAGUGCGGAGUUGUUAAACUGACAUGUAAAUGAUGAGCGGAGGCGGCGUAACCAUGGUGCCGGGGGCAGGCGCGGGUGAUGAGGAGGGUUUCUCUUGGUUAAUGAGGGGUCAGAGGUCAAAGGUUGAGCAACAGAUAAAAUAUGAAGAUUCUUCUUCUUCUCUUGUUCGGUGACGGCAGGAAGUUCAGAGUCUGAGGGAAACCAAAUGAAGAGGAGAAACAUUUUGUUUAAAGCAGGUGAGUUAGGUCAGCUGACGUGAACCUUACCUGUGACAGGUGAUACAGUGCAGCACAUAUAUCCAAAGGACAUUUUAAUCAAGGACUUUUGACCUGUAAUGGAUGAUUUUUGUGUUGCAUUGAUGCUGAGCUGUGGGCAUCUUUCCUGGUGACUCGCAUCACCGAGCUGCUUUUCUUUUCUGUAUGUUCUCAUAAUUAUGUUGUGCCUCCUGGUGGCAGCUUCAUGCUGGUUUAUUUAUACUAUUUAUAGCGAGAGGUCUUCCUGCCGCCACACUCUGUCAGUUACGUGUAGUGUGCUGCACAGAAAUGCCACCAGAGGGCAGUAAGUGCCGGUCUGCUGAGCUGAGAAACUUACAGAUAUGUGCGCCAUCAGCACCAGCAGCUCAUUCUUGAUCUGCUCACUCAUGUACCAUCAGGAUGUCCGAUAAGAAUCUUUGAACCAAGGUAGGGGUGCUGUUAUCUACUGACCUUCUUGUUUAAAAGGAUGUUUGCAUUUGGACGAGUUAACUGAUCUAAAAGUGAACUGCUCCUGCAGUUUGACCUGCAUCUUCUGGAUGGACUGGCCAUCGGGCAUUUGCCUGGUAUGCCCGAUGGUGAUUUUUCGUUUUUAUGGGCCGAUUUUUUUUUUUCUAGGAAUGGUAUAAACAAUGAGAGGUGGUGGAUUGGCCAGAUGCUGUGGUGGCUGUGGCGGAGCUUCCACAGAGGCCAGCAGGUGGAUGAGGGAAGGGGAGGCAGGAGGAGGACCCGAGGCGGCCGCCGGUCCGAGUGUCAGGUGAACUGAACUUCAGGUAAGAAGUUAUGACCUGCAGUCUAUCUGGGUCAGAUAUAAACCAAGUUUAGGUGGAGUUUAUUUUCGUUAUGCUGACUUUUUACCGUCAGUUACAAUAACUCGUACUGCGUACUAGCUAGCUGACGGAGUUUCUAUACAGCUGGGUGGGUGCUAUGAUGUUAGUGAUGGUGAACUUUAUUUUAUUCAUAAGGUUAGUUAGUAGAGUUGCCAACUGUCCUGUAAAAAACGGAAUCGUCUCGUAUUCAGAGAAAAUAUGACGCGUUUUGUGUUGAGCUGAGAAGGAACAGUUUGUCCCGGACUUUAAGUAGAAUGAAAAAGACACAAAGCUGGAUUUAUUCUGUGUCUUUGCUGCACAGCUGCCUCUUCUUCUCUCAUUCUCCCCCUCCCUCUCCUGUUUCUACUUCAAUCACGAAACUGAUCAAUGAUCAGCUGAUCGGCUUUUCUCUCUUGUUUAUUUAUCGCCCACUUUGCGCCAGAAAGAGGAAACCAGCGGAUGUCGCGUUAAACAGCAGCAGCACGUUUAAGCUUGAUCAGCUGUUGUUAGAAUUUAUUUAAUAUUAAUUUCUAGUAUCAGCUGAUGUUUGCUGGAGCCACAGCUGUAAAGCUGCUGGUCAUGAUAUCGGUUUGGUUAUCUGGUGAGAGGGAAACAUGCAGAUGAAACCAGGAGAUGUCCUUACUGAAUCAUCAGAGCUGAACAGGUGAUGGAGAAACAGGUUUACCUUUUAGGUGACAUGAAUGAGUUGAAGGGAAGUUAUGAACUGUUUCUGAGAGACAA
ensembl:lncRNA